UACGUAGGGGGCAAGCGUUAUCCGGAUUUACUGGGUGUAAAGGGGGCGCAGACGGCGAUGCAAGCCAGGAGUGAAAGCCCGGGGCCCAACCCCGGGACUGCUCUUGGAACUGCGUGGCUGGAGUGCAGGAGGGGCAGGCAGAAUUCCUGGUGUAGCGGUGAAAUGCGUAGAUAUCAGGAGGAACACCAGUGGCGAAGGCGGUCUGCUGGACAGCAACUGACGCUGAGGCGCGAAAGCGUGGGGAGCAAACAGG
rnacentral:rRNA from 1 species